AGCGAACGCUGGCGGCAGGCUUAACACAUGCAAGUCGAACGGUCCUUCGGGAUAGUGGCGGACGGGUGAGUAACACGUGGGAACGUACCCUUAGGUUCGGAACAACACAGGGAAACUUGUGCUAAUACCGGAUAAGCCCUUCGGGGGAAAGAUUUAUCGCCUUUGGAGCGGCCCGCGUCUGAUUAGCUUGUUGGUGAGGUAAUGGCUCACCAAGGCUACGAUCAGUAGCUGGUCUGAGAGGAUGGCCAGCCACACUGGGACUGAGACACGGCCCAGACUCCUACGGGAGGCAGCAGUGGGGAAUCUUGCGCAAUGGGCGAAAGCCUGACGCAGCCAUGCCGCGUGGAUGAUGAAGGUCUUAGGAUUGUAAAACCCUUUCACCGGGGACGAUAAUGACGGUACCCGGAGAAGAAGCCCCGGCUAACUUCGUGCCAGCAGCCGCCGUAC
rnacentral:rRNA from 1 species